UGGGGAAUAUUGGACAAUGGGCGCAAGCCUGAUCCAGCCAUACCGCGUGGGUGAAGAAGGCCUUCGGGUUGUAAAGCCCUUUUGUUGGGAAAGAAAUCCAGCCGGCUAAUACCUGGUUGGGAUGACGGUACCCAAAGAAUAAGCACCGGCUAACUUCGUGCCAGCAGCCGCGGUAAUACGAAGGGUGCAAGCGUUACUCGGAAUUACUGGGCGUAAAGCGUGCGUAGGUGGUCGUUUAAGUCCGUUGUGAAAGCCCUGGGCUCAACCUGGGAACUGCAGUGGAUACUGGGCGACUAGAGUGUGGUAGAGGGUAGCGGAAUUCCUGGUGUAGCAGUGAAAUGCGUAGAGAUCAGGAGGAACAUCCAUGGCGAAGGCAGCUACCUGGACCAACACUGACACUGAGGCACGAAAGCGUGGGGAGCAAACAGGAUUAGAUACCCUGGUAGUCCACGCCCUAAACGAUG
rnacentral:rRNA from 1 species